CCGAGUUCGUGCCCCCCAGCGGGGUAGAUCUCCCACCCUGUGUUAUUAUACCUUUGUUGCUUUGGCGGGCCGCCCUCGGCUACCGGCCCCGGCUGGUACGCGCCCGCCAGAGGACCCCAAACUCUGAAUGUUAGUGUCGUCUGAGUACUAUACAAUAGUUA
rnacentral:misc_RNA from 1 species